rnacentral:rRNA from 1 species
CUAAGUUCGUGCCAGCAGCCGCGGUAAGACGAACCGUGCGAACGUUAUUCGGAAUGACUGGGCUUAAAGAGCGCGUAGGCGGGCCGCCGCGUCGGUUGCUGAAAGCCCCCGGCUCAACCGGGGAAGGGGCACCGAAACGGGCGGCCUGGAGUGGAGGAGGGGGACCCGGAACUCCCGGUGGAGCGGUGAAAUGCGUUGAGAUCGGGAGGAACGCCGGCGGCGAAAGCGGGGUCCUGGACUUCAACUGACGCUGAGGCGCGAAAGCCAGGGGAGCGAACGGGAUUAGAUACCCCUGUAGUC